rnacentral:rRNA from 1 species
AGAGUUUGAUCAUGGCUCAGAACGUACGCUGGCGGCACGCCUAACACAUGCAAGUCGAACGAAGUAGCAAUACUUAGUGGCAGACGGGUGAGUAACAUGUGGGUAUCUGCCCUUUGGCCUGGAAUAACACGAGGAAACUUGUGCUAAUACCGGAUAAGUCUUUACGGAGAAAGCUUUAUGCACCAUUGGAUGAGCCCGCACUUGAUUAGUUUGUUGGUGGGGUAAUGGCCUACCAAGACUGUGAUCAAUAGCUGAUUUGAGAGGAUGAUCAGCCACAUUGGGACUGAGACACGGCCCAAACUCCUACGGGAGGCAGCAGUGGGGAAUCUUGCACAAUGGAGGAAACUCUGAUGCAGCGAUGCCGCGUGAGUGAAGAAGGCCCUUGGGUUGUAAAGCUCUUUCGUCGGGGAAGAAAAUGACUGUACCCGAAUAAGAAGGUCCGGCUAACUUCGUGCCAGCAGCCGCGGUAAU